rnacentral:rRNA from 1 species
CCUACGGGCGGCAGCAGUGAGGAAUAUUGGUCAAUGGGCGGAAGCCUGAACCAGCCAAGUAGCGUGCGGGAUGAAGGCCCUACGGGUCGUAAACCGCUUUUGCACGGGGACAACACCCUCCACUUGUGGACGUCUGCAGGUACCGUGCGAAUAAGGGCCGGCUAAUUCCGUGCCAGCAGCCGCGGUAAUACGGAGGGCCCGAGCGUUAUCCGGAUUUAUUGGGAUUAAAGGGUGCGUAGGCGGGCGUUCAAGUCAGCGGUAAAAUCGCGCGGCUCAACCGCGCCCCGCAGUUGAAACUGGACGCCUUGAGUUCGCAACAGGCAGGCGGAAUUCGUGGUGUAGCGGUGAAAUGCAUAGAUAUCACGAGGAACCCCGAUUGCGAAGGCAGCCUGCCGGGGUGCGACUGACGCUGAGGCACGAAGGUGCGGGUAUCGAACAGGAUUAGAUACCCUUGUAGUC